UACGUAGGUGGCGAGCGUUAUCCGGAAUCAUUGGGCGUAAAGAGGGAGCAGGCUGCAGCACAGGUCUGUGGUUAAAGACUGAAGCUCAACUUCAGUAUGCCAUGGAAACCGGGCAGCUAGAGUACGGAAGAGGAUCGUGGAACUCCAUGUGUAGCGGUGAAAUGCGUAGAUAUAUGGAAGAACAUCGGUGGCGAAGGCGACGAUUUGGGCCGAUACUGACGCUCAGUCCCGAAAGCGUGGGGAGCAAAUA
rnacentral:rRNA from 1 species